UCCUGCAGGAUGUCCCCACCGUCCGUGGGAGGAGUUCCGGAUUCCAGGGCUGGGCAGGUUCCCCACCCCCACCUGUCCAAACCUGUCCCACUGGUCGGGCGGGGCCGAUGGCCCAACCUGGGACACCGCACCUGGGGGGCGGGGCCACCGGGACAGGGGGCGGGGCCUCCAGGUGGUCCCAAGGUCCUGGUGGUCACUCUCAAGGUGGUCACAGGUCCAGGUGGCCCCAAGGUCUAGGUGGCCCCAAGGUCCAGGUGGUCACUCUCAAGGUGGUUCCAAGGUCCAAGGUGGUCACAGGUCCAGGUGGUCACAGGUGCAGGUGGUUCCAAGGUCCAGGUAGUCAGAGGUCCAGGUGGUCCCAACGUCCAGGUGGUCCCAAGGUUCAGGCGGUCACAGGUUCAGGUGGUCACUCUCAAGGUGGGCACAGGUUCAGGUGACCAUGGCCAAGGUGGUCCCAAGGUUCAGGUGGUCCCAAGGUUCAGGUGGUCCCAAGGUUCAGGUGGUCCCAAGGUUCAGGUGGUCACUCUCCAGGUGGUCACAGGGUUCAGGUGAUCGUCAUCAAAGUGGUCACAGGUCCAGGUGACCAUGGCCAAGGUGGCCACAAGGUCAAGGUGGUCAUAGGUCCAGGUGGUCUCAAUGUUCAGGUGGCCAAAAGGACCAGUUGACCAUGGCCAAGGUGGUCACAAGGUCCAGGUGUUUAUGGCCAAGGUGGUCACAAAGUUCAAGUUGUGGUCAAGGUGGUCACAGGGUCAAGGU
rnacentral:lncRNA from 1 species